rnacentral:rRNA from 1 species
GACGAACGCUGGCGGCGUGCUUAACACAUGCAAGUCGAACGAUGAAGGAGGAUCUUGCUCCUCUGGAGUAGUUGCGAACGGGUGGGGAACACGUGAGCAAUCUGCCCCGGACUCCGGUAUUGCUACGGGAAACGGUAGCGAAUACCGUAUGGGCGCCUAACGGGCAUUUGUAUGGGGGGGAAAGAAAUGCGGUCGGGGAUGAGCGCGCGGCCUAUCAGCUUGUUGGGGUGGUAGCGGCUCACCAAGGCGACGACGGGUAGCCGGCCUGAGAGGGUGACCGGCCACAUUGGGACUGAGACACGGCCCAGACUCCUACGGGAGGCAGCAGUGGGGAAUAUUGCACAAUGGGCGCAAGCCUGAUGCAGCAACGCCGCGUGAGGGAUGACGGCCUUCGGGUUGUAAACCUCUUUUAGCAGGGAAGAAGCGAAAGUGACGGUACCUGCAGAAAAAGCGCCGGCUAACUACGUG